rfam:Aedes albopictus isolate Foshan contig120635, whole genome shotgun sequence.
UAGUCUAGUGGUUAAGGCUUUGGAUCGCCAAUCCGGAGACGGCGGGUUCGAUUCCCGU